CGUUCAAAUAAAAGAGAAGGGAUGAGAUGCGUUGAGAUAAGGGAAGAAAGAAGAAGAGAUAUCUCAUGCACACAACUAGCGCAUGCCCUCCUUUCUCCAAUUUUUUUUAUCGCACAAAAAAAAUUCUUCCAUGCCCCAAUCACAUGGAUUUCUAUCCUAUUUUGAAUCAAAUUCAAAUAGAAAAAAAUCUGAAAGAAAAAAGAAUUUCAAAUAAGGUGGGGCACCAAUAGAGAAAAACAUCGCUCCUCUUCCCUUCUUGGCAUGAUUUCUAGAGAGAGAGUCCUAGGAGACUUGGACUCUCAAAGUCAUGGUUCGUCUGGUUUAAAUUAGAUUUUAAUCAGGUUCAAAUCAAGUUUGAAACAAAUCAAAUUCGAGAAGGUUGUCAAGCCUGAUCCAAUCAAGCUUGAAAUCC
rnacentral:lncRNA from 1 species